rnacentral:lncRNA from 1 species
AUGAUGACGCUUUCACGGGGGGAGGUGUGGGUUCUGCCUAGGAGAGUUUGCUUUAACAGUUGCCACCUGACGUGGACCCUUUAUUCCCAGCCCUGAGUCACUUUAUUUUUAUGUGUAGAUUAGAUAAGUUGCUUAUGUUUAGGAGCUUACAUGUUUAAGCCUUGGUUCUUAUAGCCAGGCUGCGUCUGGGCUGGGAUUGUAGCUUUACUGCCUCAUUCCCUUCUCCUUUUUCUCCCUCUCCCUCCCCCUCUCCCUCUCCCCUCUCCCUCUCCUUCUUUCUUCUUUCUUCUUCCUUUUUUUGGUAUCAGAGAUCAAACUCGGGACCUCGUACUUGCAAAGCAGUCAGCAGAACCACUGAGCUACAUUCUGCUUCUUAUAAAGUAACCUCACUCCUAUCCCAUUAUCAAACUAGAUAUCAUCUACUACUCUGCUUAAAAUUGUGGCCGGUAUGACUUUAUCUGGGGCAAGUGGACUCCUGCAUGGAGCACCCAGUGUGGCUGGUACAUCGUGGGGAAGUGACAGCCUUGCUCUAAGCUGUGAGGGUUUCCUGCCUCCUGUGGUUACAGGGAGAACGGAAAGUAGAAGGCACAGAGCUGCUCUAGAUGAGACAAGCGUUGUCCAAAACCCUAGCAUCCUUAUGCAUUCUCUGUAAGUCAAGGGAACACUAUUGUGGAAAACUGAAGGGGAAAACUGAAGCAAAUUGACCUUCCUCAAACUACACGGCUCAGAAGGACCAAGAAUGAGAUUUCUGGAGCUUUUACCACAUCAGAACUCAUCUGAAAGCCCCAAGGAGGAGAAUGAGGAAGAUGUGACCUGUGGAAGAGAAGGCCUGCCUGUGCCCUGGAGGCAGGGAAGUGGGUAUGGGAACCUAAACUGGAAUCAAGUUUGUGAUUCUAGGGGCC